AAUGAACGCUGGCGGCGUGCUUUACACAUGCAAGUUGAGCGAGGCCACCCGCAAGGGUGAGUCGAGCGGCGAACGGGUGAGUAACGCGUGGAUAACCUGCCCUUGAGUGGGGAAUAACCCGGGGAAACUCGGGCUAAUACCGCAUAAGACCGAGAGGUGAAAGCGGGGUCGCAAGAUCUCGUGCUCAUGGAGGGGUCCGCGUUCGAUUAGCUAGUUGGUAGGGUAAUGGCCUACCAAGGCGACGAUCGAUAGCCGGCCUGAGAGGGUGAUCGGCCACACUGGAACUGAGACACGGUCCAGACUCCUACGGGAGGCAGCAGUGGGGAAUUUUGCGCAAUGGGCUAACGCCUGACGCAGCAACGCCGCGUGGAGGAUGAAGGUCUUUGGAUUGUAAACUCCUGUCAGCAGGGAAAAAGGGAUGAGUGCUAAUACCACUCAGACUUGAUUGUACCUGCAGAGGAAGCCCCGGCUAACUCUGUGC
rnacentral:rRNA from 1 species